AUUGCCUUGCAAAAGAAAAUAUAAAAGGAGGAAAAAUAGUUAUCAGAGAGGUAAAUCUAGCAACCUGCAAAAUACAGUUAAGUGAGCAAGGCAAGUUCUCUUCCUGGAGACAGUGAAUCAAGAGUUGGCCCCCACAAAUAAUGCCUUAAAUAAAUCUGUUUGUCAGCAUAAAACAUCGGACACCCUGAGCACUGAUAGAUGUAGAAUUUAAGGAUUUCUACAAUCAGUUCUGUUUGUGGGGAAUGAUUAAAAACCAGUGAGGUGCCCACACUACGUGCAUAAAUCAUCUGUUAUUUUAAUGGGUUGGUGCCUUUGUUUGAUUGCAAAUAACCAUUUUUUUUAAUGUAGGAAACUCACAGGAAUUUUGUAUAUCAAGAAUACAUGACACAGAAGCCCAGUAAGAUAGCACAGAAAGAAUGGCCUGUGAAAGGCAAUUUACUGGUGUUCAAACCAAUCUCCAGCUCAGAGGAGCUACCCCCUGAAUCAUGCUCCCACCAUUGUCUGACAAACAAAAAGAAAAGCUCUGUGAUGGACACUGCAACAUCCUGGAUGGCAGGGUGAACAACGGCUGUAAUGCUCAAAUCAUUCGCUCUGACACCAUAGGAAAAGUGAUCUCUUCUCCGCUCUGCCUGGUCUCAUGAUGCUGAGGCUUCUCUCGGAUGUCUGCCCAUCACACAGGUGAUGCGGUUUAUCUUGGUCAGAGGGGUACCCAGUGACAUCAAGGACACAAGCCGUGUGAACUCAUUAACUAUGUGCACAACCACAACUGAGAACUGGAAUGUCCAGUAUAUCCAACGGAACUAGUGUUUGCUUUGGACAUAUCCCAGGAUGUCAAACCCCAGUUACUUGAAAGAAUGAGAGCGCUUGUAAUAUCAGUAGUGAAUGCCACCAAAAUUAGAGACAGCAACUGUCCAGUGGGAGCUAGAGUCACUGUACCAAUACUCGUUAUCUGAUUCGCUUCUCCGAGUUCUACAACAAGAAUCAGCUCCUCAACAAAAUUAAAAAUCUGGCUUAUGAGAGAUCCUCAAGUGAAUGGGAUAUUGCCAGAGUGAUGCGAUUCAUUGCCAGAAAUGUUUUCAAGCAAACUCUCCAAGGUCCUAAUGUGAGAAAAGAAGCGGUGUUUUUCAGCAAUGGCUGUCUGCAGAUGAAUUUUCUAUUAACACAGUAGUUCUGGAGUGCAUUUGAUAUUGUUUCAGUAGUUCUCGCUUUUAAUGAAGUUCCCCACAUCAGUCAUGCUUUCGCAACAAAUGUAGACCAGAUGACUUGUGAACGCCCAGAUCACGAUCACCACCGGCAUAUGUGGAUGCUGCUUUCAUUUUGGAUAGCUCACAGAAAAUGAGUGGUGCCAAAUUUGAGAAAGUGAAAGACUUCCCGAGUGCAAUCAACAAAUAUCCACCAGUAGCACUCAGGAGAAAUGGUAACAGAAUCAGCUCUUAGGGCUUGGCUACACUUGUGAGUUAGAGCGCAUUAAACUAGCCCCGAGCACCCUAACUCACGAUGUGUCCACACUGGUAAGGCACAUAGAGCACCCGGAUGUUGCGGCUAGAGCGCUUCUGGUGAUCCACCUCGGCGAGUGGAAUAACGCUUGAUGCGCCCCCGCUGGAGUACCAGGACACCAGUGUGGAUGCCCUGCUCUUUUAGUGGGCUCUGAUCGGCCUCCAGAAGUGUCCCACAAUGCCUGAUCUAGCCACUCUGGUCAUCACUUUUUGAACUCUACUGCCCUGCCCUCAGGUGACCAACCGUCAGACUCACCCUUUAAAUUCUCUGGGAAUUUUCAAAUUCCCCUUCCUGUUUGCUCAGCCAGGCAUGGAGUGCUCUCAGUGAAUCUUUCCAGGUGACCAUGCCUCCAUGUACCAAGCAAUCCCCAGUAUGGAGCAAUGGUGAGGUGUUGGACCUCAUCAGUGUUUGGGGGGAGGAAGCUGUCCAGUCCCAGCUGCGCUGCAGCUGUAGGAAUUACCUUCGGGCAGAUAUCAAGGGACAUGAUGGAAAGCGGCCAUGACCGGGAUCCUCUGCAGUGUUAAAAUGAAGGAGCUGCGGAAUGCCUACUGCAAAGCCUGCGAGGCAAACAGCCGCUCCAGUGCUGUCCCGCGACCUGCCGGUUCUACAAAGCUGGACACGAUACUUGGGGGCAACCCCACCUCCUCUCCUAGUACCACCAUGGACAGUUCAGAGCAGAGUUCAACAUGGUCAAGUUCAACAAGGCAGGAGGAGGAGGAGGAAAGCAGGAGCAAAGGUGUUGAGGAGGAAGAAACCCCAGAAUCCCUAGCUGCAUGCAGCUACUAGCUGCCUCCGACACCUGUAGCUUCACCACCGAGCCCUGAAAACUAUGACCCUUACCCACUGCACUCAAUCCCCAUCACCAUGCAGUAUAACCAUCCUGAAGUGCAGCACUCAUUGCACAGCACUCCAGACAGGAAGCCUGAGUAUGAGAACAGGACAUAUGCAAAUCUGUGAUUGAACCUUUCCCUGCCCCACCCCCUUGCCCUUUCUAUUUCCCAAGCAGUUGUGUUUCUUUUCAGUAAAUGAAUUUUAUUUUCA